CAGUCGCCGCGGUAAUACGAACCGUGCGAACGUUAUUCGGAAUUACUGGGCUUAAAGCGCGUGUAGGCGGGUGGGCACGUCGGACGCUGAAAUCCCCCGGCUCAACCGGGGAAGUGGCGCCGAUACGGCCGGCCUGGAGUACGGUAGGGGCAGAGGGAAUUUCUGAUGGAGCGGUGAAAUGCAUUGAGAUCGGAAAGAACACCAACGGCGAAAGCACUCUGCUGGGCCGACACUGACACUGAGAGACGAAAGCUAGGGGAGCAAAUGGGAUUAGAGACCCGCGUAGUCCCUGUCUCUUAUA
rnacentral:rRNA from 1 species